rnacentral:rRNA from 1 species
GACGAACGCUGGCGGCGUGCUUAACACAUGCAAGUCGAACGGAAAGGCCCUGCUUUUGUGGGGUGCUCGAGUGGCGAACGGGUGAGUAACACGUGAGUAACCUGCCCUUGACUUUGGGAUAACUUCAGGAAACUGGGGCUAAUACCGGAUAGGAGCUCCUGCUGCAUGGUGGGGGUUGGAAAGUUUCGGCGGUUGGGGAUGGAUUCGCGGCUUAUCAGCUUGUUGGUGGGGUAGUGGCUUACCAAGGCUUUGACGGGUAGCCGGCCUGAGAGGGUGACCGGCCACAUUGGGACUGAGAUACGGCCCAGACUCCUACGGGAGGCAGCAGUGGGGAAUAUUGCACAAUGGGAGGAAGCCUGAUGCAGCAACGCCGCGUGCGGGAUGACGGCCUUCGGGUUGUAAACCGCUUUCGCCUGUGACGAAGCGUGAGUGACGGUAAUGGGUAAAGAAGCACCGGCUAACUACGUG